UACGAAGGGGGCUAGCGUUGCUCGGAAUCACUGGGCGUAAAGGGUGCGUAGGCGGGUCUUUUAAGUCAGGGGUGAAAUCCUGGAGCUCAACUCCAGAACUGCCUUUGAUACUGAGGAUCUUGAGUUCGGGAGAGGUGAGUGGAACUGCGAGUGUAGAGGUGAAAUUCGUAGAUAUUCGCAAGAACACCAGUGGCGAAGGCGGCUCACUGGCCCGAUACUGACGCUGAGGCACGAAGGCCAGGGGAGCAAACGGG
rnacentral:rRNA from 1 species